rnacentral:tRNA from 1 species
GGUGGGUUGGCUCGGUCGUUAGAGCUUAGGUCUUGUAACCGAAAGGUCGCGGGAUCGAAUCCCGCUAGAGGCUG